CCUACGGGAGGCAGCAGUGGGGAAUUUUGGACAAUGGGCGAAAGCCUGAUCCAGCAAUGCCGCGUGAGUGAAGAAGGCCUUCGGGUUGUAAAGCUCUUUUGUCAGGGAAGAAACGGUGAGGGCUAAUAUCCCUUGCUAAUGACGGUACCUGAAGAAUAAGCGCCGGCUAACUACGUGCCAGCAGCCGCGGUAAUACGUAGGGUGCAAGCGUUAAUCGGAAUUACUGGGCGUAAAGCGUGCGCAGGCGGUUUUGUAAGUCUGUCGUGAAAUCCCCGGGCUCAACCUGGGAAUUGCGAUGGAGACUGCAAGGCUAGAAUCUGGCAGAGGGGGGUAGAAUUCCACGUGUAGCAGUGAAAUGCGUAGAGAUGUGGAGGAACACCGAUGGCGAAGGCAGCCCCCUGGGUCAAGAUUGACGCUCAUGCACGAAAGCGUGGGGAGCAAACAGGAUUAGGAUACCCUGGUAGUCCACGCCCUAAACGAUGUCUACUAGUUGUCGGGUUUUAAUUAACUUGGUAACGCAGCUAACGCGUGAGUAGACCGCCUGGGGGAGGUACGGUCGCGAAGUAGUAAACGUUAAAGUUAGUAAGUUAGUUAGNGNGNGAGNGCGACGGACGACGACGAGGGAGGAGG
rnacentral:rRNA from 1 species